rnacentral:lncRNA from 1 species
GGAUCAUAUGCUCAAAGUACCAAACAUACAGUAAAAUGACAUGUCAUAGGAGUUUCUCAAAAACUAUAACAGCUAAAGAAAAAUAUUAGGGAGAAAACUGAUAAGCAAGACAUAUACUAAAUAAUGAUAGAUAAGUCAACACAGACACAAGAAUUAGAUGACUACUCACAGGAUGUAUUGCCAUUUAUAGAGAGAAACUGAACAGCACAACAAUAAAAUUGAGAAAGGAAAUGGGGAAUAUUUAAAAGAGACCAAC